GUGGCCCUACGGGGCUCAGCAGUGAUGCCUAUUGGUCAAUGGUCGCGAGCCUGAACCAGCCACGUAGCGUGAAGGAUGACUGCCCUACGGGUUGUAAACUUCUUUUAUAAAGGAAUAAAGUGAGGCACGUGUGCCUUUUUGUAUGUACUUUAUGAAUAAGGAUCGGCUAACUCCGUGCCAGCAGCCGCGGUAAUACGGAGGAUCCGAGCGUUAUCCGGAUUUAUUGGGUUUAAAGGGAGCGUAGAUGGGUUGUUAAGUCAGUUGUGAAAGUUUGCGGCUCAACCGUAAAAUUGCAAUUGAUACUG
rnacentral:rRNA from 1 species